rnacentral:rRNA from 1 species
GUAUAGAACCUACCUUUUACUGGAGAAUAGCCCAGAGAAAUUUGGAUUAAUGCUCCAUAGUAUCAUUUUUUGGCAUCAUUAGAUGAUUAAAGAUUUAUCGGUAAAAGAUGGCUAUGCGUUCUAUUAGCUAGUUGGUAUGGUAACGGCAUACCAAGGCGACGAUAGAUAGGGGUCCUGAGAGGGAGAUCCCCCACACUGGUACUGAGACACGGACCAGACUCCUACGGGAGGCAGCAGUGAGGAAUAUUGGACAAUGGAGGCAACUCUGAUCCAGCCAUGCCGCGUGUAGGAAGACUGCCCUAUGGGUUGUAAACUACUUUUAUAGAGGAAGAAACCGCUCUACGUGUAGAGCUCUGACGGUACUCUACGAAUAAGGAUCGGCUAACUCCGUGCCAGCAGCCGCGGUAAUACGGAGGAUCCAAGCGUUAUCCGGAAUCAUUGGGUUUAAAGGGUCCGUAGCGGGUUUGUAAGUCAGUGGUGAAAGUUUUCGGCUCAACCGGAAAAUUGCCAUUGAUACUGCAAGUCUUGAAUCGUUGUGAAGUGGUUAGAAUGUGUAGUGUAGCGGUGAAAUGCAUAGAUAUUACACAGAAUACCGAUUGCGAAGCAGAUCACUAACAAUGUAUUGACGCUAAGGGACGAAAGCGUGGGUAGCGAACAGGAUUAGAUACCCUGGUAGUCCACGCCGUAAACGAUGGUUACUAGCUGUUCGGA